CUCCUCUACACAACAAGGUUCAAGGCCCAACAAGUGCACAAGCACACAUCAACAUAGAUUGGACGAGAAGCACAAAUUUUAGCUGAUCACACAUAACAUCAAUGAGAAGCACGAAUAUCGUGUACCAUCACUAGUACACAUACUUUGUCCCGUCACCCAAGCACCAAUAUUGUGUCAAUCUACUGGAUUUGCCACAUGGUGAUGUUACUGCAUUAGGGCUGUCCCAGCUUCUCCCUGCCCAAAUGGCAGGAUGAUCUGCUGAUCGAUGUACUGCUCCAGCACCACCUCCCGCUACCACUGGUGGAAGA
rnacentral:rRNA from 1 species